rnacentral:misc_RNA from 1 species
AGUAACUGUUCCAUCACAAUUUCUAAAAGAAAAAGGCAAAACUAAAAUUGUUCAAAGAUUUCACAUAUACCCAUGAGAUAAAUUUCUGAUCCAAUGUCAGUUUCUCAUUAAUUAAUCAAUGCAAACAACAUUUUUAAUGUUAGAUUUAUCAGCAACGAUUUUUAUUGCCAAAUGUAUAAAAUUUACCAUAUAAGUUUAUGACAACAAUACGUGAAUUGUUGUAUAUUAUUGCUAUAAAAUUGUAGCAGUAGAUAUUUUACAAGGAAAUUGUAGUUGUUGCAAAAGAAAUAG